UACGUAGGGACCAAGCGUUGUUCGGAUUUACUGGGCGUAAAGGGCGCGUAGGCGGCAAUUCAAGUCAGUUGUGAAAUCUCCGAGCUUAACUCGGAACGGUCAACUGAUACUGUUUUGCUAGAGUGCAGAAAGGGCAACCGGAAUUCUUGGUGUAGCGGUGAAAUGCGCAGAUAUCAGGAGGAACACCGGUGGCGAAGGCGGGUCUCUGGGCCGAUACUGACGCUGAGGAGCGAAAGCGUGGGGAGCAAACAGG
rnacentral:rRNA from 1 species